UAAUAAACACCGCCGGGUGUCACUUAAUCAAGUAUUCUUAAUAAUUCCAUUAGGCCAAAGAAGGAAUUAUUAGGGAUACUUAUUUUUU
rnacentral:ncRNA from 1 species